AUAAUACUCCCUCCGUCUGGAAUUACUUGUCAUCAAAAUGGAUGUGUCUAGAACUAAAAUACAUCUAGAUACUUCCAUUUCAAUGACAAGUAUUUUCUGACGGAGGGAGUAGUAG
rfam:Triticum aestivum genome assembly, contig: Triticum_aestivum_CS42_TGACv1_scaffold_223818_3B